rnacentral:tRNA from 1 species
UAAGGAUUUAAGUUAAACCAAACUAAUAACCUUCAAAGUUGUAAAUAGAAAGCUAUUCUAAGCCUUAG